rnacentral:tRNA from 2 species
GUCUCUGUGGUCUAGUCGGUUAUGACGUCGGUCUCAUAUCUUCUGAUAUGACUCCUUCUCAGAAGGAGAGAUCCGAAGGUCCGCAGUUCGAUUCUGCGUAGGGACA